GGUGAGUUACGGGNGGGAUUUACCCUUUAGUGGGGGACAGCCAGGAGAAUUCCUGAUUAGUACUGCAUUCGUUCUAGGGAUGACAGAUUGCCUGUAUGUAUAAGCUAUCGCUAUUGGAUGAGCCCGCGUUAGAUUAGCUAGGUGGUGGGGUAAGAGCCUACCAGGGCGACGAUCUAUAGCUGGUCGAGAGGACGACCAGCCCACAUCGGGACUGAGACACGGCCCGGACUCNUACGGGAGGCAGCAGUGGGGAAUAUUGGACAAUGGACGCAAGUCUGAUCCAGCAAUGCCGCGUGUGUGAAGAAGGCCUUAGGGUUGUAAAGCACUUUCAAUUGUGAAGAAGUUAAUAAGCUUAAUACGCUUGUUAAUUGACGUUAACUUUAGAAGAAGCACCGGCUAACUCUGUGCCAGCAGCCGCGGUAAUACAGAGGGUGCAAGCGUUAAUCGGAAUUACUGGGCGUAAAGCGCGCGUAGGCGGUUAGAUAAGUCAGAUGUGAAAUCCCAGGGCUCAACCUUGGAACUGCAUCUGAUACUGUUUGACUAGAGUUUGGGAGAGGGAAGUAGAAUUUCAGGUGUAGCGGUGAAAUGCAUAGAGAUCUGAAGGAAUACCAGUGGCGAAGGCGACUUCCUGGCCUAGAACUGACGCUGAGGUGCGAAAGCGUGGGUAGCAAACGGGAUUAGAUACCCCGGUAGUCCACGCCGUAAACGAUGUCAACUAGUCGUUGGUUCCCUUGAGGGAUCAGUGACGCAGCUAAC
rnacentral:rRNA from 1 species